rnacentral:rRNA from 1 species
UGGGGAAUUUUGGACAAUGGGCGAAAGCCUGAUCCAGCAAUGCCGCGUGUGUGAAGAAGGCCUUCGGGUUGUAAAGCACUUUUGUCCGGAAAGAAAUCCUUGGCUCUAAUACAGUCGGGGGAUACGGUACCGGAAGAAUAAGCACGGCUAACUACGUGCCAGCAGCCGCGGUAAUACGUAGGGUGCAAGCNUUAAUCGGAAUUACUGGGCGUAAAGCGUGCGCAGGCGGUUUGCUAAGACCGAUGUGAAAUCCCCGGGCUCAACCUGGGAACUGAUUGGUACUGGCAGGCUAGAGUAUGGCAGAGGGGGUAGAAUUCCACUGUAGCAGUGAAAUCGUAGAGAUGUGGAGGAAUACCGAUGGCGAA